rnacentral:rRNA from 1 species
UACAGAGGUGGCAAGCGUUGUUCGGAAUUAUUGGGCGUAAAGCGCGCGCAGGCGGUCUCUUAAGUCUGAUGUGAAAGCCCACGGCUCAACCGUGGAGGGUCAUUGGAAACUGGGGGACUUGAGUACAGAAGAGGAAAGCGGAAUUCCACGUGUAGCGGUGAAAUGCGUAGAGAUGUGGAGGAACACCAGUGGCGAAGGCGGCUUUCUGGUCUGUAACUGACGCUGAGGCGCGAAAGCGUGGGGAGCAAACAGG